AUACUUACCUGGAAGAGAAGACACUAUGAUCACAAAGUAGUUUCCCCAGGGUAAGGCUUAUCCAUAGCACUUCGAAUGUGCUGACCCCUGCAAUUUCCCCAAAUGUGGAAAAUGUGUGGACUGCAUAAUUUGUGGUAUUGGGGGACUGCAUUUGCACUCUCUCU